CCUACGGGGGGCAGCAGUGGGGAAUAUUGGACAAUGGGCGAAAGCCUGAUCCAGCCAUGCCGCGUGUGUGAAGAAGGCCUUCGGGUUGUAAAGCACUUUCAGUGGGGAAGAAAGCCUUGGGGCUAAUACCCUCGAGGAAGGACAUCACCCACAGAAGAAGCACCGGCUAACUCCGUGCCAGCAGCCGCGGUAAUACGGAGGGUGCGAGCGUUAAUCGGAAUUACUGGGCGUAAAGCGCGCGUAGGCGGUCUGAUAAGCCGGUUGUGAAAGCCCCGGGCUCAACCUGGGAACGGCAUCCGGAACUGUCAGGCUAGAGUGCAGGAGAGGGAGGGAGAAUGCCCGGGGUAGCGGUGAAAUGGGUAGAGAUCGGGAGGAAUACCAGUGGCGAAGGCGGCCUUCGGGACUGACACGGACGCUGAGGUGCGAAAGCGUGGGUAGAAAACAGGAUUAGAUACCCUGUAGUC
rnacentral:rRNA from 1 species